CUGUCUGAAUAUGGGGGGACCAUCCUCCAAGGCUAAAUACUCAUCAUUGACCGAUAGUGAACUAGUACCGUGAGGGAAAGGCGAAAAGAACCCCGGGAGGGGAGUGAAAUAGAUCCUGAAACCGUGUGCUUACAAAAAGUAGGAGCCUCGCAAGGGGUGACUGCGUACCUUUUGUAUAAUGGGUCAGCGACUUACAUUCAGUGGCAAGGUUAACCGAAUAGGGAAGCCGUAGAGAAAUCGAGUCCGAAUAGGGCGUCAAGUCGCUGGGUGUAGACCCGAAACCAAGUGAUCUACUCAUGGCCAGGAUGAAGGUGCCGUAACAGGUACUGGAGGUCCGAACCGACUAGUGUUGCAAAACUAGCGGAUGAGCUGUGGAUAGGGGUGAAAGGCUAAACAAACUUGGAAAUAGCUGGUUCUCUCCGAAAACUAUUUAGGUAGUGCCUCAAGUAUUACCGUCGGGGGUAGAGCACUGUUUAGGCUAGGGGGUCAUGGCGACUUACCAAACCUAUGCAAACUCCGAAUACCGAUGAGUACAGCCUGGGAGACAGAGCACCGGGUGCUAACGUCCGGACUCAAGAGGGAAACAACCCAGACCGCCAGCUAAGGUCCCUAAAAUUGGCUAAGUGGGAAACGAAGUGGGAAGGCUAAAACAGUCAGGAUGUUGGCUUAGAAGCAGCCAUCAUUUAAAGAAAGCGUAAUAGCUCACUGAUCGAGUCGUCCUGCGCGGAAGAUGUAACGGGGCUAAGCCAGUUACCGAAGCUGCGGAUUUGCAAUUUAUUGCAAGUGGUAGGAGAGCGUUCUGUAAGCCUGUGAAGGUGGUGGUGUAAACCCUGCUGGAGGUAUCAGAAGUGCGAAUGCUGACAUGAGUAGCGUUAAAGGGGGUGAAAAGCCCCCUCGCCGUAAGCGCAAGGUUUUCUACGCAACGUUCAUCGGCGUAGAGUGAGUCGGCCCCUAAGGCGAGGCAGAGAUGCGUAGCUGAUGGGAAGCAGGUUAAUAUUCCUGCACCGUCGUAUGAUGCGAUGGGGGGACGGAUCGCGGAAGGUCGUCAGGCGGUUGGAAGAGCCUGUUCUUGACUUGUAGAAGGCACUUAGGCAAAUCCGGGUGCGUAAUUCAAGGGGUUGAGACGAGUGAAUUUAUUCACGAAGCGAUCGGAAGUGGUUCCAAGAAAAGCCUCUAAGCUUCAGUCAUACGAGACCGUACCGCAAACCGACACAGGUGGGCGAGAUGAGUAUUCUAAGGCGCUUGAGAGAACUCGGGAGAAGGAACUCGGCAAAUUGGUACCGUAACUUCGGGAUAAGGUACGCCCUGGUAGUUUGACCCCCCUGCGGGGGAAGGACGAACGGGUUGCAAUAAACUGGUGGCUGCAACUGUUUAAUAAAAACACAGCACUCUGCAAACACGAAAGUGGACGUAUAGGGUGUGACGCCUGCCCGGUGCUGGAAGAUUAAAUGAUGGGGUGCAAGCUCUUGAUUGAAGUCCCAGUAAACGGCGGCCGUAACAAUAACGGUCCUAAGGUAGCGAAAUUCCUUGUCGGGUAAGUUCCGACCUGCACGAAUGGAGUAAUGAUGGC
rnacentral:rRNA from 1 species